GAUUAUUCCACCUAAGCGCCUAUAAAGUGUGAGUACAUAUUUUAUUUACGCUCACCUUACUGUAUUUUUUUUUUUAACAUACUUCACUAUCAGUUUCCUCUCCUUUUCAUGGUUUUAUAUACACACACCAAGGACACUAUAGAAAUAUUGUCCCUCUGCCAAUAGCUAGGUGUGUCGUCCCUCUUGUGGAGGAUUUGAAGACGCUGGACAUACUCAUGCAAAGGGUGAGGACAUCCUGCUUCGUUUCACAGAGUUAAACCAGGAAGCGCUUCUAGUGGCUGUCUGGAAGCCAGACAUUAGAGGUGGAGUUAGCCUUGGAAUGUAAUUAUUGCAGUUUCUCUAAAACUAGUGUUUUACAUUGCAGGGCUAAGAGGGACAGGGACACUGCAUUCAGACCACUUCAAUGAGAUUAAGUGGUCUGGGUACCUGUAGUAUCCUUUUUAAAGCACGGCUGUGCAAACCUCCGGUGCCAGUAUGCCACAGCCUUUACAAAUUUGUCUCCUGGCAUGUAAGUUAUGCAAAGUAAGAGAACCUAAAUAUAGCAUGUCUGUUACACAUGGACACAGCCUGUAUAGAUUUCAGUAAAACAGGAGAUCUACAUCAACCAUAAG